GCGGGGGUGCCCGAGCAAGGUCAAAGGGGGCGGACUGAGGCUCCGCUGGCGUAGGCCUGCGUGGGUUCAAGUCCCACCCCCCGCA
rnacentral:tRNA from 4 species